rnacentral:tRNA from 1 species
GGGUAGAUGGCCGAGUGGUUAAAGGCGACAGACUGUAAAUCUGUUCUCUCACGGGUACGGAGGUUCGAAUCCUUCUCUGCCCA